GACGUAGGUGGCGAACGUUAUCCGGAAUUAUUGGGCGUAAAGGGUGCGUAGGCGGCAUGAUAAGUUAUUGGCGGCAAAUCGAGGCUCAACCUCGUGGAAACUGAUAAUACUGUCUUGCUUGAGUGCAGAAGAGGUUAACGGAACUCCAUGUGGAGCGGUAAAAUGUGUAGAUAUAUGGAAGAGCAUCAAUAACGGCGAAGGCAGUUAACUAGUCUGUUACUGACGUUGAGGCACGAAAGCGUGGGGAGCAAAAAGG
rnacentral:rRNA from 1 species